UAAGAAUUUUGAAAAAGAAGCUAUUAAAGUUCAUGAGAAAAGAGGGAAUCACCUUAUCAGAAAUGCACUGACAAACAAGUUUUACAUAUAUAUGUGUAUGUACGUAUAACGUCAACAGCCUGUGCUGAUCUCAUUUUGGAGAUUUUGCACGUGUAUAUAUCAGGGAAUAUAAAUACGAGUUCUCGGUUAAUAGUUUUCAAAACCUGUAAAACCUUUGAAGUCGCGGUUGUGAUACAAUCCUUAUAUGUGCAAACUAUAUUAACACCGGAAAUCAAAAUGAAAUAUUUACAAUUCCUUGCUUUAUUCGUUGUUAUAUUCGUUAUCACAACGUCUGCUAUGCCUGCAGAACCAUCCGAUAUUCCUUCUUCGUUAAAGCAGGGUACAAGAAUCACUAGAGCUGUAUCGACAUCAUUCCAAUGUUCUGCUUGUAGCUUUUUCUGUCAAGGCAAAGGAAAAAGGGGUGGUUAUUGUAUAAAGAACGUCUGCACCUGCUUUUAACAAAUUAUGUACUAACUUAAUAUUAAUAAUAAUAUUUAUUAUUUAUUCUGCUAUUGGUAUCUAACAUUGAUCACCUUCAGCCUUCAUAUUGUAUGUACUUACUAUAAUUGGGAAAAUAAACAUGUUCAUUUUACAUUCACAAUUAA